AGAGCAAUCUACAAUCCUACAAAUAAACCGUAGAUGAAGUUUUUUAUUCAGUUGGAUUAAACUCAAAUGCAGAACAAACAACAGAACUCUAAUCUCCUGUUCUCCGGUUGGUAGUUUGCCUACAAAACCGUGUUAAACACGAUAGGAAGUGCAUCACUUUGCGAUUAAUAAGCACGAAGAACUCGGAUACGCCGUUUUGAAUAUCACACAUAAAUGUGUUGCAUGGUACGAGCGUUUUGUCUCUCCCCAUUAGUUCGACAUUGGACGUUCCACUACAUGAACACAUACAAUCGGGAGAAAGCUGCGGGCGGAAGAACCGCCCUCCUUCGUGACGCAUGGUUCGCUCUACGGUACGCCAUUUGUGUCUACCAGGAAAAGCGCGGACAGAGGAGAUUGUCGUAUAACAACGGAAAACUCAAUUCUGCAUUGAUUACAUUAUCUAACCUUCCAGUUGAGUGUAGUGUUCACAGUACAAACAAAUAUGGAUAAAACACACUCUCCAAGAAAUGAGUCUGAAAGUGACACGGGUCAGAAGGUACAGCCAGAUGAUGUGGAAAUGGAGGAAAGUACAAAGCACUCAGACGGUACUGCACAAUCUGAAACUGAAAAGUCAACUGAAGAAAGUGCAGCAGACUGUAAUGUCACGACUGCUGAAACUCACAAGGAAGAAGAGAUGAACAGGGACAGAAAUGUUGAGCUAAUUCAAGAACAGAGAUCUGAUAUUUUGAAUCUGAAUUCAGCUGUCAUUGCCACUGAAAGUGGCAUAAACACAGAGAGUACAAAGAAAGGACAACCUGUAGCAAACGUGCAUCAGGAUUCUCAAGCAGAGGGGAUCACUAGCCAACCAAGAAGAGUGAGCAAGCGGAAACCAAAACCUAAAAUUAUUUACUCUUGCAACUACUGUGGACAAGAAUUUAGAGAUAAGGCUCCUCUGGAUGUUCACGUUCAGAGAUACCACACCAAAGACACACCAUACACAUUUGACGCUGGGGUGACAAUGGAUGAUGAGGACUCUGAAGAAGCUGGGAGUUCUAUAAAGUCGAGUCCACCACGAGCAGCAUCCAAAAUUGAGCAAAGCAA